GCUAGUCGCACGAGUUUAGACUCGUGGCAUAUAGCUCAGUAACACGUGGCCAAACUACCCUACAGACCGCAAUAACCUCGGGAAACUGAGGCCAAUAGCGGAUAUAACUCUCAGGCUGGAGUGCCGAGAGUUAGAAAUGUUCCGGCGCUGUAGGAUGUGGCUGCGGCCGAUUAGGUAGAUGGUGGGGUAACGGCCCACCAUGCCGAUAAUCGGUACAGGUUGUGAGAGCAAGAGCCUGGAGACGGUAUCUGAGACAAGAUACCGGGCCCUACGGGGUGCAGCAGGCGCGAAACCUUUACACUGCACGACAGUGCGAUAGGGGGACUCCGAGUGUGAGGGCAUAUAGCCCUCGCUUUUCUGUACCGUAAGGUGGUACAGGAACAAGGACUGGGCAAGACCGGUGCCAGCCGCCGCGGUAAUACCGGCAGUCCGAGUGAUGGCCGAUAUUAUUGGGCCUAAAGCGCCCGUAGCUUGCUGUGUAAGUCCAUUGGGAAAUCGACCAGCUCAACUGGUCGGCGUCCGGUGGAAACUGCACAGCUUGGGGCCGAGAGACUCAACGGGUACGUCCGGGGUAGGAGUGAAAUCCUGUAAUCCUGGACGGACCACCAAUGGGGAAACCACGUUGAGAGACCGGACCCGACAGUGAGGGACGAAAGCCAGGGUCUCGAACCGGAUUAGAUACCCGGGUAGUCCUGGCUGUAAACAAUGCUCGCUAGGUAUGUCACGCGCCAUGAGCACGUGAUGUGCCGUAGUGAAGACGAUAAGCGAGCCGCCUGGGAAGUACGUCCGCAAGGAUGAAACUUGAAGGAAUUGGCGGGGGAGCACCACAACCGGAGGAGCCUGAGGUUUAAUUGGAUUCAACGCC
rnacentral:rRNA from 1 species